AACGAACGCUGGCGGCAGGCCUAACACAUGCAAGUCGAGCGCGCCCUUCGGGGUGAGCGGCGGACGGGUGAGUAACGCGUGGGAACGUGCCCUUUUCUACGGAAUAGCCUCGGGAAACUGAGAGUAAUACCGUAUACGCCCUUUGGGGGAAAGAUUUAUCGGAAAAGGAUCGGCCCGCGUUGGAUUAGGUAGUUGGUGGGGUAAUGGCCUACCAAGCCGACGAUCCAUAGCUGGUUUGAGAGGAUGAUCAGCCACACUGGGACUGAGACACGGCCCAGACUCCUACGGGAGGCAGCAGUGGGGAAUCUUAGACAAUGGGGGCAACCCUGAUCUAGCCAUGCCGCGUGAGUGAUGAAGGCCUUAGGGUCGUAAAGCUCUUUCAGCUGGGAAGAUAAUGACGGUACCAGCAGAAGAAGCCCCGGCUAACUCCGUG
rnacentral:rRNA from 1 species